UUUAGCAGGCCAUGUAGUAGUCAUGGCCUGCUAAAUUGAAAUGCUGGGAUAAGAGGAAAGGAUGAUGAGUUUGUUUCCUGGGGCCAUCUUAAUUGUGGUCUCUUUCUUUGAAAGUGGGCCCACAGGUUGGGUCACAACCAAAUGGUGAGCCCCAGUGUCCACCAUAAUUUUCAUAGGUUGGUUCCCUAUAAGUGUUGGGACCACAGGUUUCUGGGUGCCCAAAGAGAUGGAGCCCAGUCAGUCCUAGUCCUCAUCAUAAUUUUCCAAGUCUUCAAAUCCCACAAAAUUUAUUCAUGGGCAUCAUAGGGGUGUCUGUGGCAUUGAGCAUGAUGGGGGACAUAUUUGUAGGGUUGGUAUCAUCCUUGAAGGACUUGUCCUCACUUAUCCUGGUAAGGAGUAGAAAGAACCCAGUUGACUUUCUUCAGUGUGGGGCAUUCAUUUUCCCAGUGUCCCUCUGGCAGUGGGUGCAUUGGUUUAGUCUCAGCCUAGUCUCCAGGUGAGGAGGUUGGUCCAGACCAUCCUCCAGCCCUGCAUCUGGUUCUGAUUCUGAUAUUUGUUUUGGCUUUGUCCUGGUGGGAACCCCUUUGGGUGACUUCUGGGUCUGUAGUAAGGGCAGCUGCAAGGAAAAACCAUCUUCUUCAUUUUUCAGUCUGCUUCUUGCUGGGUCUCUUGGUCUUGAUUGACAAACACUGUGGUGGCCACUUCAAACAGCUCACUGGCAUUCUUCCCAGCAAAACCCUCUAACCUACCUGCUUUUGUCUGUUUUGUAGUUUUGUUGACUGUCACUCUGGGCCUGUCCCACAAUGAUUGUGUUGUCCACCUGCUGGUUGUCUGGUGCCUCAGGAUCAAAGGGAGAAAAGAGAGGCUUCACAAGGUUGUCCAUAGAACUGGCUGGGGCUUUCAUCAGGCUUUUGGAGUACUUCUGACAUCUUGUUCAUAUUUAGGGCUCUCCUUCCCCUUCUUUGAAGUCUCCUACGAGGGGUUCUUUAUAUCUGUUUAUGUUUCAGAGUUCUUCAUCUUUGCUGGGGUCCCACCCUGAGUCUGUGUUGGGGAACUGGGCCUGGGCAUAGGAUUGGAUGUUGCCUUGUGCAUCUGGAACAUGUUUCUCUAGCCAUUUUAAAUCACUUGGUCACCCAUUUGCCCUCAUCUGUAAUGAAUAGAUUAAGAAGUAGCUGGCAGCAGUUCCCCCAGUGUUUUAGUCAGCUAUUUUGCUGUUUGACUAAAGGAUCUGACCAGAACAAUUUUAAAGGAGAAAAAGUUAACUUGAGGAAUCAGUUUUAGAUGUCCUAGUCUAUAGAAGGCUGAGUUCAUUCCUUGGGGCUCCAGUUGAGGCAGAACAUCAUGGCAGAUGAAUGUGGCAGAGGGACACAGAUCACAUAUUGAUCAGUAAGCAGAGAGAGAGAUUCCACUUGUGAGAUACAAAUAUAUAUCUAAAACCACACCUCAAUUCCCAUUCCCUCCUGCCACACGCUACCACUUUAGUUAUCACUCAGUUAAUCUGUAUUAGGUGAUUAAAUAAUUAAUUAGAUUAAGACUCUUACAACCCAACUAUUUCUCCUCUGAACCUUCUUGCAUUAUAUAACAAUAAUGCAAGUGAGCUUUUGGGGGACACCUCACAUCUAAACCAUAACAAGCAGGUAGGUUAGUGGGUCUGGAUAAUGAAUCUCAUCAUACCAAUCAUGGUCUGAGUUUUCUCUGUGUAGGAGUGUAUGAUUUUUCCAAUUUUAGAGAUAAUUUUAGGAGAAAGCCUGAUACUUAAAAAUGCUUUAGGCCCCUCAGAUGAUUUUCUCCUGGUCACUGUAGGCAGGUCUUCUAGUCUCUCACAGGGGCAUCUGGAGAGGUGUCAGCUGGUUGUGGCUCUGGUCUUAGGAUGGGUUCCCAUCUUGGUCUUGCAAGGUGGAGGAGGAACCUUUUUCUUUGGGGAAGCCUCUGGCCUUGAGGAUCUUAUAGAGGAAGGAGGAGCUGGUAUUGAAGGGCUAUAUUCUGCAGUUUCUGGAAACAAGGGGGCUGAGGGCACUGCCCAUUGUCUCGAUGGUCUUGAGAAUGUUGGGUAGAGUGGCAUGUAAGGAGGUGGGUUCUCUUCUGACUCACUGGGCAAAAUUGGUUCUUGUUCUGCCCUUUGUCAGAUUUUCUCUGCUUAGUUGCCUUUUGGGGGGUCAUAGAGGCUGGUAUAAUCUGAGCUAACAACAAUUUGGAUUGUCUAUCUAGACAGGCUCUCAACCAAAGGGUAUGUUUCCAGACUAUAUCUUUCCAGCAUUCAAGGGAUCUAUUCUGGGUAUCCAGGGAUUCCAACAACUAUUAAAAAGACUUCAGCAAUGAGAGUUUUAAUUAAAGAUCCUCCUGGUGGCCACACCUAAGCUUGGCCAUUCUAAUUCACAGAGAGUACACAACUUUGCUGAGUAAAUUUCACCCCAUAGUCUCUCCUAAAACCUUUAUUAAGGUUUCACAACAGACAUUCCAAGGGCUUUAAGGGAUUUAGUUACUUUGUGUGCCUCCCAUAUUCCACCUUGCAACAGUGUCACACACUUCUGACAAGAAUCACAUAGUCCAUCUCCAGCCUUUCUCCUCUUAGGACUUAGGGUCCUCUCAGCCUUGUCGGUCCAUGUCAACCCCCAACCUGGAGCUUCCACCUAGAUGUUGGUUGGUGCAAUUCUGUCACAGACUGUAUGAGGUUCCAUGGAACCAUGAAUUGGGACUCAGCACUCACUUUGUACUCAGGUUGGGUCUGAAUUCUUCCCUUGUUCAUCUCAUUUACACUUUCACAUAGACAUGGUGUUAUGGGCCAGGCUCUAUGAGCAAUGACCAAACAGACUCCAUUUUAUCCUGAGACUCUAUGUCAUGUAAGAAAUGCUUCUCCCAUGAGAAAAUUCUGCCUCUGCCAUCCUGAUCCUGCUUAUCACACCCUGCUUAGAAACAGUUUUUUUUUUCUGUUCUUAUAUAAUGUAAAAUGUUUUUGGUUCCCAUUUUUUUUUUUUGGAUAGUGUAUCCUGUCAGAAAAAUAUUGUCUAGAUGUUAAUAACUAUUGUUUAACUGGUACUCAAAUGGGGUCAUUUUGACUUUCUUCCCCUUCUGCUUAUGAUUUUAGAUAUCAUGUUGUUUGUUUAGUUUGAAUCAUAGCAAGAGCCUCUUAUAAUUAAUGUGGUUUUGGACUAUAAAGCUCUAUUCUAACCCUUUGACAGGGUAAAGAAGAUUAUAAACUUGCAAUCUUCCCCUUAGCCUAUCAGCUGGUAAAUCCAGACUACCCGCUAUUGAAUAAAUAUUCCACAUCCUGCUUAAGACAGAUGCAGUGAUUUACUGCAAUCUUGCCAUAGCAAUUGUCAGAGCAAUAUUUUACACCCCCAUAUUACACAACAAAAAGGGAGGCAUGGUUUCCCCUAUGCUUGCUGACCCCAAACAGAGACUAAUUAGGUGACUCCCUGGAUCCUUUUUGGCUCCAACUCCUUUUGGAGGUUAUUUAGGACCCUCAGAUGUUGAACAAGCCUCUCUUCUACCUACAUAGGCCUCUUGGUUGAAGUCAGAUGGGAUAUAACUGAAGAACCUGGGACCUACCUGUUUGGUCAGGUGGUGCUCCAUGUUCCCUAUUCUUGGAUUCUUCUCCUCAUGGGUUCUGUUAUGCUUCAGGGUGGCAGCUCUGAGAUGUCAGGUGAGUCGUGCCUCCUUCAGUAGAGUUGCCUCUGUGGUGUGCUAAGGGGUGCAAUGUCCUCCAACAUCCCAGACUCCAGAGACAAGAGAGGCAACUUCACCAUUUCCAUCCCAUAUGGAUUGCCAAAUGAUGCAGGACAGAUGAGGCUGCACACCUGAGGAAUUAGCAGAAGGAAGGUUUAUUGGUGACAGCUGGUUCAGAGUGUGGCUAUAUCCUAAAAUUUCCUCUACUGAACCAUUAGUCUAGAAACUCUUUGAACUUUAUACCCACUGGGAGGAGGGGCUUGGAUUUCCACUUUUACUGGAGUCUACCUAAAAGUAUCUUUUUUUCUUUGAGUUCAUAGUGCUUUUGUCUCACUUUUUUAAAGAUGAGUCAGAGGUUAUAUGCUUUACCACAAAAGCAGAAGUAACAUCACAAAGUGUUUUGCCAAACUUAGCUUUUACAAGACAGAGUAAUAGGAAAUAGAAAGUCUAACCACAUUUGGGUUUUUUUUUUUUUUUUUGCAGAAUUUUUUUUUUCUGAUGUUCUCUUAAUAAAAACAGAUAUGUUGAAAGUACCUUUAGAAACUUAAUUAAGGUUCUUUGGUGGAGGAGGGUGCACCACUACACUGUGGGACUUCACACAGUUUCAGUAGGUCUUAUUGACUUUUCCUGGGGCUCAUGGAUUUCAGAGCCAUCCUCAGAGUCCACUUUGUCUUCAGGAUCUUUUAAAUGUUCUCCAUGAGGUGUUGGGGAUGCAAAUCAAGUCAAGAUGGCACCUGGCACUUUGCCAGGAAGAGUGGUUUGUGAAGCAACGCCAGCGAGCCAUUAAGAUGGUGAGGAUUCCUUAUUAGCUGACUGCUGUAUCUAGAUGAUGUUAAUUAAGUUAAGCUGUGUGUAAUUAGUUGAGUAUAUAUACCUCUGCUGUCCAGCAGAAAAGCGGCUCCAGCUACUUUGAGUUCUUGCUGAGUUCCUGCUGAGUUUACUCCCAAUAAAGUAGUUCCUGCUUCGACCUUCAAGUUGCUUGUCACCUCUCAGUUAUUUAGCCCAACUGGACUAUGGCAUAUGGUGGCCCGUAUGGGGAAUCUCCACGCCUGGGAGUAAGUGACAAGUUUUUCCAAGAAUGACAAGAAAAACACCUAUCAUGAAUGCUCCAAAUAUAUUCACUGAUCGAUCAAGGAAUGGUACAGCAACAGUAGUUACCCCUGAUCAAGGUUUUACAUUUUUAAUACUUGAACAAUCAGCUCAAAAGGUUGAACUUAAUGCAGUAUUAAAAGCUUUUGUGAUGUUUAAAGAUUCCGUAUUUAAUUUAUUUUCUGACAGUUUAUAUAUAGUUAAUGCUAUAAAUUCCCUUGAAGAUGCUGGUAGGAUUUCCCCUUCCUUUAUUGUUUUCCAAUAUACAAAGUCUAAUCUGGGACAGAAAAGAUCCAUUCUUUAUAGGAUAUAUCAGGGCACAUACAGGAUUGCCUGGAGCCCUUAGUUUGGGCAAUGAUUUAGCAGAUAAAACAACAUAUGACAUACAUAUAUUUUUCUGUACUAGAAGAAGCUACAAAUUUUCACAAAUCCUUCCAUGUUAAUGCUAAUACUUUAUGAAAGCAUUUAAAAAUAACUAAGGAACAAGCUAGACAUAUAAUAAAACAAUGUCAAAAUUGUGUGACCUUUAUACCACAAGUUAAUCUUGGAAUCAAUCCUAGAGGACUGAUACCUAAUCAUAUCUGGCAAAUGGACGUCACACAUUUGCCAGAAUUUGGAAAAUUAAAAUAUUUACAUGUUACAGUUAUACUUCUUCCAGAUAUUUGAUGGGCUCCCUUCAUGCCAGAGAAAAAACUAAAGAUGUUAUAGCUCAUUGCUUACAAAAUUUUGCCACUGUGGGCAUUCCAAAACAGUUAAAAACAGAUAAUGGCCCUGGCUAUAAUUUUGCUUCUUUUAAACAAUUUUGCCAUAAUUUGACAUUACUCAUAUAACAGGUAUCCUGUAUAAUCCAUAGGGACAAGGCAUAGUUGAAAGAGCCCAUCAAACUAUUAAGAUGUACUUAUUAAAACAAAAAGAGGGAAUUGGGAAAGGAUAUAAAUCCCCCAAAGAUAAAUUUAUCAUAACCCUUUUUAUGUUAAAAUUUUUUAAUUUGGAUUCAUCAGGACUUAGUGCUGCGGAAAGGCACAUGUGUCCAAAAAAUGUACAUAAGCCAAAGGUACUUUGGAAGGAUAUUCUAACUGGACAAUGGAAAGGUUCUGACCCAGUGAUUUUCUGGAGUCAGGGGUCUGUUUGUGUGUUUCCACAGGGAGAACAGCAGCCAAUUUGGAUUCUAGAGAGACUAACUAAAGCGAUUUCUACAGACCAAGAAGAAGAUGAUUUGGCUCAAAAUCCAUAACAGCUGAUAUCCAGAACUCCAGUUUAGCUAUCUUUACAUCUGAAAAAAUGGUUCCCACACCUGGAGGCUAAUGAAUAAUAGCACCAUUAAGGUCUAUUUCAAAUGUAAAAAACCUUGAGGCUUACUUAUGGGAAUACCUUCAAACCCAUAUGCAAGUUACAAGAAGAAGUUUUCUAUUCUAUUUUUUGAGCUCAUACAGACCUAGGUUAAUGUUUUUCUGAUUAUUUUUAUUUUUUAAUCAACUGUGGAGUUUUUAAACAUUGCAAUGGAAAUUUCACCUGUGAAAAGCUACAAGGCUUUUACUAUUGUGUUAUGUGUACACACUUGUGCUAUGUGUUGUAUGUCUGUAUGUGUGUAUGUCCAUAUAUCAGGAGCACUCAUGAAAAAAUUGGAUCCAAAUAUCUUUUAUUCACAUGAUUUAAAUGUUUAAUUUAAAUUGGGUAUUGUUUUAAUAUGUGAACAAAAAAGGAGGUUAACAGAUCUGUUUGUUUACUUUCACCUUUCCUUUUCAUUAUAUCUAAUAAUUCUGUUCAGAAUAUUGUACUAAAUUGUUCAGAAAAUUGUUUUCUUAGUGCUUGCUGGAAUGCUGCACAAUUUUCUUUAGCCAUUAUUGCUAGAAUUCCUACCUUAAGACAAAAAUAGAAGAAUUACCAGUAUUACUGAAAAACUAAAUGAGACUUCGUAAUUACAGCUAACAUCAUCACAGUUGUUGCUGUUUCUGCUGCUGCCACUACAGCUUCUGCAAUAGCUAUCACACAAACUGUAUAAACUGAUGCAUCAAUGAAUAAUGUAACUCAACAAGUAAUGCUCAAAGAGUUGAUUUGCUGUGAGAAGAAAUAGACAUAUUAAUGGACUUCUCUGCUUUGAGCAGAGAACAACAAAAUAAAAAUAAAAUACAUACCCCAAAGUAAAUAAAGUAUAUACCCCAAAGUAAUGCCCCAAUGUCCUACCUCUCCAGUCACACCCUAUCAGUCUUCAGCUAUCACUCAGUUAAUUCCUAUCAGGGAAUUAACUCACUUAUUGAAUUAAUGCUCUUAGGACCCAAUCAUUUCUUCUCUGAACAUAUUGCAUUGUCUCCCAUGUGAGCUUUUGGGGGACACCCCACAUUGUGAACAUAACAUUCCACACCUGGCCCCCAAAAGCUCACAACCAUCUCACAAUGCAAAGUCCAUUUUGUCCAUUCCCAGAGUCUCCAUGGUCUCAACAGUUCCAAGACUGCUCUGAGUUCAAGUCCAAAGUCUUCUCUGAGGCUCAAUGCAAUCUUUCAUUAUGAGCUUCUAUAAAAUUAAAAGCAAUUUACAAUUACCCAAUAUAUAAUGGGUACAAAGUAAACAUUUUCAUUUACAAAAUUAGGGGCAUAGAAAGAAGGGAUAGGAUCAGAGCAAGACCAAAAUCCAGCUGGUCAAACAGGUCCUGUAGUUCUGUGUCCACAUCUGAAACACAUGGCAUCAUGAUGUUCUUCCCAAAGGUCUUGUGUAUCCCUGCCUCUGUGGCCUUGUUGCUUGUAGCCCAAGUGGUUGUUUUGGGCUUGUCUCUGCUCAAUUCCUGCAGCUUUCCAAGAAUGAUGUCUAUGUUACUGGCAUUUCUUAAUGAGGAGGGUUUAUCUCGACUGCAGCUUCAGUUUCCUCCUCAUAACUGCAGACUUUGACUUCUCAGGUGCCCACAGGGACUCCAAUCCUGUUGCCCUUUGUCUGGUAUCCCAGGCCUUCCUUUGAAAUCAUGGAAGAACCCUCCAUAAAUCCCUAACUCAAGCAUCCUACAUUCAUGCAGAGCAAGAACCUCAUGAUUGGUCCCAAGGACUGCCAGUAUGUUGAGCAAUAACCAAGCCUCCAGGGAUGCUGGCUUCAACAGCCUCUGAGUGUUUGUGUAGUGGAGCCUGUGGAAAACACUCUGUAGGCCCCCUUGCAUAAGAAGGUUUACCCUCUGUUUUCUUGUUAAGAAAACUCUCACCUUUACUCCCAGGAGCUUGGAGUGUAGACUUGCUAGAUUUUGAGAAGCCCUUAAGCCACCUUUCUUAUUGUCUCUGUUCAAAGUCUUUAGCAUUUUUGUAGUGGUGAUAAUGGCUUUAACAACUGAAACUUCCUUAGCUUUAGUUUUAUGACCUUUCAAGUUAACUAUUUCCAAAUAUUUCUUCUCUGCUUUCUGCUCCUGAAUAACCCAAUAAAUUUUGCUAAAACAUGUCAGCAAUAUCUAUGUCAUGGCCUAUAUGCUAUGCUGCCUAAACAUUUCUUCCACCACAUAAGGAAGUCACUUCUGGGGCUAGGGUUGUGGCUCAGUGUCAGAGCACUCACCUAGCAUGUGUGAGGCACUGGAUUCAAUCCUCAGCACCACAUCAAUAAUAAAUAACUAAAAAUAAAGUUAUUGUGUUCAUCUACAACUAAGAAAAUGUCCACUGCUUCUAAAAUCAGCCCCACUGAAAGUCUCAGGACCUGGGCAAAAUGCAGAUACUUCUCAGCCAGAACAUAACAAGAAUGGUCUCAACUCCAAAUUCCCAUAAAGUCCUCCAUUUCUAAACCCUCUUGAGCCUGGUCUUCACUGACUGGUGUCCUGUUGCCAUUCUGGUCUUCUGAGCUCCCGCCAGAAUCAGCCAUUAAUCUCUGCUUACAAAAAUAUAAAGCAUUUCCAUCUGCACAGCUACACAUCGCAAAAUUCCUCCCACCAAUUCCAAAAAGCUCAAAAUGCUUAUUAAACAUGAGUGAAACCCCAGAAGGCUUUCCUGAUAAGAGGAAACAGCAAAAUCAUCAAUGUGGAGACCAACAGACCAGAUGUUUCUGACCACAGGGUAAAUAAUGUCACUGAGAAAUCUGGUGGUAGCUGGUAAGGAUUGAAAAGGUGGUUAAAACCCCCAAAUUUUGUAUGAAUAAUAGAGCAAAUGAACAAGAAUUCAGCCAGCUGAAACAAGGAUGCACUCAAGCUGGAGAGCCUUAUGAGGACCUGACAUCCCAUCACUUGUCACAUCCCCUGAGCCUCUGCGUAAUCGUCACCACUCUCAAACUCUACCACCUAAUCUGGACCUUGGUGAGAGCCACAACUUCUCCCUAUGACCCUCUCCGCAAUUGGUCAUCCACUCCAUGCCAGGAAAAGCCUGCCUUGCUUCCAGACCUGAUCACCGGGUCUGAGUGAGAGUGCAUCUGCUGGACUUAAAGCCUAAGACUUGCAGAGAAAAUGUCUGUCAUUAGACUAUCAUGAUUAAGUGUGUUUUGCAGUGCUUAGAAUUAAUCUAGAAGUUUUGCUGUGAAUUAAUUAAUCUAGAAUUGUUUGCUGUGAAUUGAUUAUGUCUAUUGCAAUGCCUAGCAUUAAGGAUUGUCAUUUUCUUGAUUAAAAACCUAUAAAAUGAAA